AAUGUUAGUGGCAGACGGGUGAGUAUGCGUAGGAUCUACCUAGUAGUACGGAAUAGCCAUUAGAAAUGGUGGGUAAUACUGUAUAAUCCCCGAGGGGGAAAGAUUUAUCGCUAUUAGAUGAGCCUACGUUAGAUUAGCUAGUUGGUGAGGUAAUGGCUUACCAAGGCUAUGAUCUAUAGCUGGUCUGAGAGGACGAUCAGCCACACUGGAACUGAGAUACGGUCCAGACUCCUACGGGAGGCAGCAGUGGGGAAUAUUGGACAAUGGGCGAAAGCCUGAUCCAGCUAUGCCGCGUGAGUGAAGAAGGCCUUCGGGUUGUAAAACUCUUUCAAUAGGGAAGAUAAUGAGGUUACCUAUAGAGCCCCUUUACCCGUUUAUUCCCGUUAUUUGCCCCACUAACUUAUACAUUUUUUUACUUUUUAAAUGAUGCGUUUUUUUUUUUAAAACCCUUAAAAAGUUUAAAAUUUUUAAAUUACUUCCCCGGGGGGGGGGGGGAAAAAACCCCCCCCAAAAAAUUAAGCCUAAUUUUCCUUUAAUAAAAAUUAAAGGUUUUUAAAUUUUAACCCCUAUAAUUGAUAAAGUUAAAAUUUUCAAUUUUUUUUAUUUUUGAAAAUUUUUAGAAUUUUGAAUUUUGGGGAAACACCGAUUUACAAUUCUUCAUCCGACUUAAAUCUUUAAAUUUCUUUCUUAUUUUAUACCUUACACCUUAUUUACACAAUUUUCACAAAUUUUAAAUGAACAAAAAAUGUAAAACGUCAGCAGCCGCAAAUUUUGAAAAUUGAAACCGUGCCACACUAAAGAAAUUUAAAUUUCAAUAAACAUUUUUCACUAUAUCAUUUUUAAAUCUAAUUGUUACUAAUUUUGCUUUAUUUUUUUUUCAAAAUUUUUAAUCUGUUUUUCAACCACUGAUAUUAACGAAAGUUCUCUCCUAAACGUCAAAUUUGUUAACCACUAAAUCAAUCCGCACAAUGGCGAACUUGUGAAAACCCAUCCAUCU
rnacentral:rRNA from 1 species